GGGGGGGGGGGGGGGGGGGGGGGGGGGGGGGGGGGGGGGGGGGGGGGGGGGGGGGUUGCUGCUGGGACGGUGGCGGCGGGCGGGGGGGUAACACGUGGAUAACCUACCUGUAAGACGGGGAUAACUUCGGGAAACCGGGGCGAAUCCCGGAUACUAUAUUUAACCGCAUGGUUCAAUAGUGAACGACGGUUUUGCUGUCACUGAUAGAUGGAUCCGCGCCGCAUUAGCUAGUUGGUAAGGUAACGGCUUACCAAGGCAACGAUGCGUAGCCGACCUGAGAGGGUGAUCGGCCACACUGGAACUGAGAAACGGUCCAGACUCCUACGGGAGGCAGCAGUAGGGAAUCUUCCGCAAUGGGCGAAAGCCUGACGGAGCAACGCCGCGUGAGUGAUGAAGGUCUUCGGAUCGUAAAACUCUGUUAUGAGGGAAGAACAAAUGUGUAAGUAACUAUGCACGUCUUGACGGUACCUAAUCAGAAAGCCACGGCUAACUACGUG
rnacentral:rRNA from 1 species